UACGUAGGGUGCAAGCGUUAAUCGGAAUUACUGGGCGUAAAGCGUGCGCAGGCGGUUGUGCAAGACCGAUGUGAAAAUCCCCCGGGCUUAACCUGGGAAUGGCAUUGGUGACUGCACGGCUAGAGUGUGUCAGAGGGGGGUAGAAUUCCACGUGUAGCAGUGAAAUGCGUAGAGAUGUGGAGGAAUACCGAUGGCGAAGGCAGCCCCCUGGGAUAACACUGACGCUCAUGCACGAAAGCGUGGGGAGCAAACAGG
rnacentral:rRNA from 1 species